rnacentral:lncRNA from 1 species
CAGCCUCUAGUCAAAAUAAUGAACUGGCAGCAUUCAAAAUCUGCUUGGAAAUUGGAAUCAAGUACCAACAUAUGUGUUGGGGAGCUCACACAAUCAACAGCAUUUUCUAAAUAAUUGUCUCGCAUGCUGAGUAUAAGCGUGCGAAUGAAUUCUUGGGAACUACCAGAAUUAUCAGCUGUUUAAUGCGCGUUGUUGCAUGCUAAGUAUAAGCGUGCAAACGAAUUCUUGGGAACUACCAGAAUUAUCAGCUGUUUAAUGCGCGGUAUUCAAGUAAUCAUGCACACCUCUCCAGUCUCAAGACUAAUGUCUAUUAAUCUCGG